rnacentral:rRNA from 1 species
AACGCUGGCUCCGCGCUUAAACAUGCAAGUCGAGCGAGAACCCAGGCUUCGGCCUGGGGGAAAGCGGCCAACGGGUGAGUAACACGUGGGCAAUCUGCCCUCGGCAUCGGGAUAGCCCGGGGAAACCCGGAUUAAUACCGAAUGGCCCGACAGCUCCUCGGAGCGGUCGGAAAAGGUAGCUUCGGCCUCCGGCCGAGGAGGAGCCCGCGGCGGAUUAGCUUGUUGGUGGGGUAACGGCCCACCAAGGCUCCGAUCCGUAGCUGGUCUGAGAGGACGAUCAGCCACACUGGGACUGAGACACGGCCCAGACUCCUACGGGAGGCAGCAGUGGG